rnacentral:rRNA from 1 species
AUUGAACGCUGGCGGCAGGCCUAACACAUGCAAGUCGGACGAGUGGCGGACGGGUGAGUAAUGUCUGGGAAACUGCCUGAUGGAGGGGGAUAACUACUGGAAACGGUAGCUAAUACCGCAUACCAUCAGAUGUGCCCAGAUGGGAUUAGCUUGUAGGUGGGGUAACGGCUCACCUAGGCGACGAUCCCUAGCUGGUCUGAGAGGAUGACCAGCCACACUGGGACGGAGACACGGUCCAGACUCCUACGUGAGGCAGCAGUGGGGAAUAUUGCACAAUGGGCGCAAGCCUGAUGCAGCCAUGCCGCGUGUAUGAAGAAGGCCUUCGGGUUGUAAAGUACUUUCAGCGAGGAGGCGUUACUCGCAGAAGAAGCACCGGCUAACUCCGUGCCAGCAGCCGCGGUAAUAC